rnacentral:misc_RNA from 1 species
GAUGAAGAACGCAGCGAAAUGCGAUAAGUAAUGUGAAUUGCAGAAUUCAGUGAAUCAUCGAAUCUUUGAACGCACCUUGCGCUCCCUGGUAUUCCGGGGAGCACGCCUGUUCGAGUGUCGCGAAAUUCUUCAAGCCUUGGAUGGAUUUUUUUUUUGUCUGUCCUUGGGCUUGGUUGUUGGGCUUUGCCGUGUCCUUCAUUGGGACGGCUGGCCUUAAAAGCAUUAGCCGAUCCUCGUGUGGUACUGGUUCUACUCAGCGUGAUAACAGUCUGAUCGUUGAGGACAUCUUCUGGAUGGCCAGUCAUCAUUUGGGUUGCUUCUAAACCGGUUUCGCAGAUUGCUCAAUCUGUGUGCCACUUUUCAGCUUUGACCUCGAAUCAGGUGGGACUACCCGCUGAACUUAAGCAUAUCAAUAAGCGGAGGA